rnacentral:snRNA from 1 species
AGCUGCGUGGUGAGCACAAAGCGAACUAUUCUUUCGCCUUUUACUAAAGAAUAUCGUGUGCAUGCACAAUAAGCAGCAUACUCUAAUUUUUGGAGGGUGUUUUCUCCUUAGGGGAAAU